GUGCCAGCCGUAAAGGUAGUUUAAUCAGGCAAGGAGGGCUAAAAUGCCUGUCUUGCCUGUAUCGCCACUAGCGAUGCAGAUUUCUGUGGGUUGACCAGUUAGACCCAAAUAGUGUCGUCGGGUAUCGGUCACCUAGGUAAUUAACCCACUUCAGCCCCAUGCCAGCCUUCCCCUGCGGCACUGCAAACAUCUUCAAAAGAAGAGAGUUCAGUAAUGAGUUGACUAACAUGCCUAACAUGGCUCCUAGAUCUUCCAAACUCAGGCAAGAUUGGAGGAAGGCGGUAUACAUGUUAGCAAUCUUUCACCUGAAAUAAUGUUUGUAGAUAAUUUAGAGCUUGAAGUUAUGCCCUUCAAAUCUGCUAUUUGUGUGUAUGCCACAAUAAUUUGCAUGUGCACCACUAUCCACGAUAUUCCUGUGUUGCACACACUAAUUUCACUGCCACACACAAAUUUUGAGAGCCAAAUGGUGCACUCUGGCCCAAAAAGAGAAAAGUUGCUUCAGAAAAGAAAAAAAAGGAAAAUUAAAAACAUACCUUAUCAAUAUGUGUUUCUUUGCCUCUCUCCUUCCUCCAAAUAUGAUGACCUCAAGUGAGUCUUUGGGCUGAUUUGAGGGUAGAGACCAACCGGAAUCUAGCGAGCUUUACGGCGACAUACCACUUAGGUGCGCCAGGCUAUCAUGAAGACGUUUCUUGACAAGACUAACAAAUUUGACAAUGCGAGCCACCAAGGGCGUAGGGAGAGGGGGGUAGCCAGGAGCUAAGCAAUCAACCUUUUUGUAAAAGAGCCCUUAUAGAUUUGGGCAACUUACAAAACUAAUUAAUUUGUGUGCAUACCACUACCCUCUCCAUUCCUGUGUCACACACACUAGUUUCACUGUUGCACGCAAAUUUUGAGAGCAAAAUUGUGGACUCUAUUGCCUAAAAAGAUGUAAGUUGCUUCAAAAAAGGAAAAAAAGGAAAGUAAAAUUAAAACAUACCUUAUCAAUAUGUGUUUCCUCUUCCCUCUCUUUCAUGUGAGUGUUUAGGCUGAUUUGGGGGUAGGGACUGACCGGAAUCUAGCGAGCUUCGAGAGAAGCCUACAUCGACAUACCACUUAGGCAUGCUAGGCUGUCAUGAAGACAAUUAUUGUGAAGUCAUUUCACAUGGUAACAAAUCUGACAAUGGGAGCCACUAAAGAGAGAAAAAAAGGUGGAGGCAUGGGCAAGAGGAUUGUGAAAAAUGGAUGCAAUAGGUGUGGAAAGAGGUUACUGAGGCAAAAAGGCAAAAAACUCACCGAAGAGAGCAAAUCGAUGUCGACAAUCAAUGUGGAGAGAGGGUUAUGGUUAGUGUUGUGUUGUCAGCCUUGUGGCAUGCUCGGGGGGUGGGGCAGCCAAGCUGAAGCAGGCGUUGGAG
rnacentral:lncRNA from 1 species